rnacentral:tRNA from 1 species
GCCGACAUGGCGGAAUUGGUAGACGCACCGGACUUAAAAUCCGUUGAGUAUUGCACUCGUGCGGGUUCGAUUCCCGCUGUCGGUA